rnacentral:sRNA from 1 species
GAACAGGCUAGGAUGGCCCCCGAAAAGCCGCUACCCUGGCGGUCUGCCUGUUCCGUUUUUUCUUAACCAGGG